rnacentral:rRNA from 1 species
AGAAUCAACGCUGGCGGCGUGCCUAACACAUGCAAGUCGAACGAGAAAGUGGAGCAAUCCAUGAGUAAAGUGGCGCACGGGUGAGUAACACGUGACUAACCUACCCUUGAGUGGGGAAUAACUUCGGGAAACCGAGGCUAAUACCGCAUAACACCUACGGGUCAAAGGAGCAAUUCGCUUAAGGAGGGGGUCGCGGCAGAUUAGUUAGUUGGCGGGGUAAUGGCCCACCAAGACGAUGAUCUGUA